UCCACCGACAUGGCAAACUGCGCCUCCAGG
rnacentral:piRNA from 1 species